rnacentral:rRNA from 1 species
AUACGUAGGUGACAAGCGUUAUCCGGAUUUACUGGGCGUAAAGGGCGUGUAGGCGGUCUUGCAAGUCAGAAGUGAAAUUCCUGAGCUCAACUCGGGCGCUGCUUCUGAAACUGCAGGACUUGAGUGCUGGAGGGGAUAGCGGAAUUCCUAGUGGAGCGGUAAAAUGCGCAGAUAUUAGGAAGAACACCGGUGGCGAAGGCGGCUAUCUGGACAGUAACUGACGCUGAGGCGCGAAAGCGUGGGGAGCAAACAGGAUUAGAUACCCUGAUAGUCCACGCCGUAAACGAUGAAUACUAGGUGUAGGGGGUAUCGACUCCCUCUGUGCCGCAGUUAACACAAUAAGUAUUCCGCCUGGGGAGUACGGCCGCAAGGUUGAAACUCAAAGGAAUUGACGGGG